rnacentral:rRNA from 1 species
GGCUUAGGACGAACGCUGGCGGCGUGCCUAAUACAUGCAAGUCGAACGGUCUUUCUAUGGAAGCUUGCUUCCACUGAGAAGAUAGUGGCGAACGGGUGAGUAACACGUGGGUAACCUGCCCAUAAGAGGGGGGAUAACAUCCGGAAACGGGUGCUAAUACCGCAUAGUUUUCUUGAUCGCAUGAUUGAGAAAGGAAAGACGGCCUUUGUGCUGUCGCUUAUGGAUGGACCCGCGGCGUAUUAGUUAGUUGGUGAGGUAAUGGCUCACCAAGACGAUGAUACGUAGCCGACCUGAGAGGGUGAUCGGCCACAUUGGGACUGAGACACGGCCCAAACCCCUACGGGAGGCAGCAGUAGGGAAUCUUCCGCAAUGGACGAAAGUCUGACGGAGCAACGCCGCGUGAGUGAAAGAAGGUUUUCGGAUCGUAAAACUCUGUUGUCAGAGAAGAACAAGUUGGAGAGUAACUGCUCCAGCCUUGACGGUAUCUGACCAGAAAGCCACGGCUAACUACGUGCCAGCCGCGGC